AUGUUCGUAGGCAGGAGAGACGGCUGGCAUGUCCCAUGACAGGACGGGAACGGCUUUCGGGCUUUCCUGCUAAUAAAACGUUUACUCGAAAGGUUGGUCUCUCCAAAUAAACAAAACCUUAAGUAUUU